rnacentral:rRNA from 1 species
UGCGAGUGAAGCGGCAACAGCUCAAAUUUGAAAUCUGGCCUCUUCGGGGUCCGAGUUGUAAUUUGUAGAGGGUGUUUCGGGCGCGAUGCCGGUCUAAGUUCCUUGGAACAGGACGUCGCAGAGGGUGAGAAUCCCGUACGCGACCGGCGAUCAAGCCUGUGUGAAGCCCCUUCGACGAGUCGAGUUGUUUGGGAAUGCAGCUCAAAAUGGGUGGUAAAUUUCAUCUAAAGCUAAAUAUUGGCCAGAGACCGAUAGCGGACAAGUAGAGUGAUCGAAAGAUGAAAAGCACUUUGGAAAGAGAGUCAAACAGUACGUGAAAUUGUUGAAAGGGAAGCGCUUGCAAUCAGACCGGUCCGGAGGCGAUCAGCCGCUGCUCGUUCAGCGGUGCACUCGCCUGCGAUCCGGCCAGCAUCGGUUUGGGCGGUGGGAUAAAAGUCCCGGGAAUGUAGCUUCUCUCGGGGAGUCUUAUAGCCCGGGUCGCAAUGCCGCCCGCCCGGACCGAGGACCGCGCUCGGCUAGGAN